AACGGCCGUACCAUGCUGAAUAUACCGGUUCUCGUUAGAUCACCGAAGUCAAGCAUUAUUGGGCGCGGUCAGUACUUGGGUGGGUGACCACCUGGGAACACCGCGUGCCGU
rnacentral:rRNA from 1 species